rnacentral:rRNA from 1 species
GGCCUAACACAUGCAAGUCGAGCGGAAACGACACUAACAAUCCUUCGGGUGCGUUAAUGGGCGUCGAGCGGCGGACGGGUGAGUAAUGCCUAGGAAAUUGCCUUGAUGUGGGGGAUAACCAUUGGAAACGAUGGCUAAUACCGCAUAAUGCCUACGGGCCAAAGAGGGGGACCUUCGGGCCUCUCGCGUCAAGAUAUGCCUAGGUGGGAUUAGCUAGUUGGUGAGGUAAUGGCUCACCAAGGCGACGAUCCCUAGCUGGUCUGAGAGGAUGAUCAGCCACACUGGAACUGAGACACGGUCCAGACUCCUACGGGAGGCAGCAGUGGGGAAUAUUGCACAAUGGGCGAAAGCCUGAUGCAGCCAUGCCGCGUGUAUGAAGAAGGCCUUCGGGUUGUAAAGUACUUUCAGUUGUGAGGAAGGGGGUAGCGUUAAUAGCGCUAUCUCUUGACGUUAGCAACAGAAGAAGCACCGGCUAACUCCGUGCCAGCAGCCGCGGUAAUACGGAGGGUGCGAGCGUUAAUCGGAAUUACUGGGCGUAAAGCGCAUGCAGGUGGUUCAUUAAGUCAGAUGUGAAAGCCCGGGGCUCAACCUCGGAACUGCAUUUGAAACUGGUGAACUAGAGUACUGUAGAGGGGGGUAGAAUUUUCAGGUGUAGCGGUGAAAUGCGUAUAGAUCUGAAGGGAAUACCAGUGGCUAAGGCGGCCCCCUGGAACAGAUACUGACACU